AUGGCGGCGAGCGACGUGCCCAUGAGCCCCGAGCUCGAACAGGUCGACGGCGAGAUCCAGGACAUCUUCCGCGCCCUACACAAUGGGUUCCAGAAGAUUGACAAGAUGAAGGACUCCAACAGGCAGUCCAAGCAGCUGGAAGAACUCACUGGGAAGAUGAGGGAGUGCAAGCGCUUAAUCAAGGAAUUUGAUCGUGUACUCAAAGAUGAGGAGAAAAGGAAUACUUCUGAGGUCAACAAACAGCUAAAUGACAAGAAGCAAUUUAUGAUCAAGGAGUUGAAUUCGUAUGUCACCAUGAGGAAGACGUACCAAAGUAGCCUUGGUAACAAGAGGAUUGAACUAUUCGAUGCUGGUAAUGACCAGGUAGCUGAAGAUAAUGUUCAAAUGGCAUCAGAAAUGUCAAAUCAACAACUUAUUGAUUCUGGAAUGAAACAAAUGGACCAAACAGACCAAGCUAUUGAGCGUUCGAAAAUGGUUGUUGCACAAACUGUUGAAGUUGGAGCUCAAACUGCUACAACUCUAACACAGCAAACUGACCAAAUGAAGAGAAUUGGCAAUGAGCUAGAUUCCGUUCACUUCUCAUUGAAGAAGGCCAGUCAAAUGGUGAAAGAGAUUGGUCGUCAGGUUGCAACUGACAAAUGCAUCAUGGGGUUUCUGUUUUUGAUAGUUUGUGGUGUGAUUGCGAUCAUUGUUGUCAAGAUCGUCAACCCGCAUAACAAGAGUAUCCCAGACAUCCCGGGACUGGCGCCUCCUGCACCUCCUGCGCAGAACCGGAAGCUACUAUCCGUAGAUCCUUUCAGAAUGCUCUGA
rnacentral:rRNA from 1 species